rnacentral:rRNA from 1 species
AAGAUGGCGACCGGCGCACGGGUGAGUAACACGUGUGCAACCAACCCCGUACCGGGAGAUAACCCGCGGAAACGUGGACUAACAUCCCAUGAGACUCUAGAUCCGCAUGGCUCUAGAUUUAAAAUUCCGGUGGUACGGGACGGGCACGCGCGACAUUAGGUAGUUGGCGGGGUAAGGGCCCACCAAGCCGACGAUGUCUAGGGGUUCUGAGAGGAAGGUCCCCCACACUGGAACUGAGACACGGUCCAG